AAGCGCUUGUGGCCAGACCUGCACCUGGUGAAUCAUCCAGCGUUUUCGCUGGUGCACUUUGCCUGGUACAGGCCAGCAUCGGUUUUUCUAGGGGGAUAAAAGCUUUGGGAACGUAGCUCUUUCGGGAGUGUUAUAACCCUUUGCAGAAUACCUCUAGGGGGACCGAGGACCGCGCAUCUGCAAGGAUGCUGGCGUAAUGGCCAUCAGCG
rnacentral:rRNA from 1 species